rnacentral:rRNA from 1 species
AGGGCACCACCAGGAGUGGAGCCUGCGGCUUAAUUUGACUCAACACGGGAAAUCUCACCAGGCCCGGACACUGGAAGGAUUGACAGAUUGAGAGCUCUUUCUCGAUUCGGUGGGUGGUGGUGCAUGGCCGUUCUUAGUUGGUGGAGUGAUUUGUCUGGUUAAUUCCGAUAACGAACGAGACUCUGUCCUGCUAAAUAGUUCCCGCGUCCUUUGUUGCGCGGGAAAUUCUUCUUAGAGGGACUGGCGGCGUCUAGCCGCACGAGAUUGAGCAAUAACAGGUCUGUGAUGCUCUUAGACGUUCUGGGCCGCACGCGCGCUACACUGAAGGGAUCAGCGUGUCUUCCCUUCCCGAGAGGGACGGGUAACCCGCUGAACCCCCUUCGUGGUAGGGAUCGGGGCUUGCAAUUAUUCCCCGUGAACCAGGAAUUCCCAGUGAGCGCAAGUCAUAAGCUUGCGUUGAUUACGUCCCUGCCCUUUGUACACACCGCCCGUCGCUACUACCGAUUGAACGUUUUAGUG